CAUCAUGCCCCUUACUGACCUGGGCUACACACGUGCUACAAUGGUUGGUACAACGAGUUGCGAGUCGGUGACGGCGAGCUAAUCUCUUAAAGCCAAUCUCAGUUCGGAUUGUAGGCUGCAACUCGCCUACAUGAAGUCGGAAUCGCUAGUAAUCGCGGAUCAGCACGCCCGCGGUCCGAAUACGUUCCGGGCCUU
rnacentral:rRNA from 1 species